GUCCACGCCGUAAACGAUGGGCACUAGGUGUCGCGGGUAUUGACCCCUGCGGUGCCGCAGCUAACGCAUUAAGUGCCCCGCCUGGGGACUACGGCCGCAAGGCUAAAACUCAAAGGAAUUGACGGGGGCCCCGCACAAGCGGUGGAGCAUGUGGUUUAAUUCGACGCAACGCGAAGAACCUUACCCGGGUUAGACAACAGAGGACAACCUUAGCGAUAGGGUCUUCCCUUCGGGGACUUCUGGUUCAGGUGCUGCAUGGCUGUCGU
rnacentral:rRNA from 1 species